rnacentral:rRNA from 1 species
UACGUAGGGGGCAAGCGUUAUCCGGAAUCAUUGGGCGUAAAGAGCGUGUAGGCGGUUCAGUAAGUCCGCUCUGAAAGCCCAGGGCUCAACCCUGGGAGGCGGGUGGAUACUACUGAACUAGAGUACGGAAGAGGAGAUUGGAAUUCCUGGUGUAGCGGUGAAAUGCGCAGAUAUCAGGAGGAACACCAACAGCGAAGGCAGAUCUCUGGGACGUAACUGACGCUGAGACGCGAAAGCGUGGGGAGCAAACAGG